rnacentral:rRNA from 1 species
GGAGCAUGUGGCUUAAUUCGACGCAACGCGAAGAACCUUACCAAGGCUUGACAUACACCGGAAACGUCCAGAGAUGGGCGCCCCCUUGUGGUCGGUGUACAGGUGGUGCAUGGCUGUCGUCAGCUCGUGUCGUGAGAUGUUGGGUUAAGUCCCGCAACGAGCGCAACCCUUGUCCCGUGUUGCCAGCAGGCCCUUGUGGUGCUGGGGACUCACGGGAGACCGCCGGGGUCAACUCGGAGGAAGGUGGGGACGACGUCAAGUCAUCAUGCCCCUUAUGUCUUGGGCUGCACACGUGCUACAAUGGCCGGUACAAUGAGCUGCGAUACCGCGAGGUGGAGCGAAUCUCAAAAAGCCGGUGUCAGUUCGGAUUGGGGUUUGCAACUCGACCCCAUGAAGUCGGAGUCGCUAGUAAUCGCAGAUCAGCAUUGCUGCGGUGAAUACGUUCCCGGGCCUUGUACACACCGCCCGUCACGUCACGAAAGUCGGUAACACCCGAAGCCGGUGGCCCAACCCCCUUGUGGGGAGGGACCUGUCGAAGGUGGGACUGGCGAUUCGGACGACGUCGUAACAAGGUAGCCGUCCCGGACGAGCCGGUUGGAUCACCUCCAGGUAUGGGCGAUUAGCUAGGAAAGCGACAUUU